rnacentral:rRNA from 1 species
GAUGAACGCUGGCGGCGUGCCUAAUACAUGCAAGUCGAGCGAACAGAUGAGGAGCUUGCUCCUCUGACGUUAGCGGCGGACGGGUGAGUAACACGUGGAUAACCUACCUAUAAGACUGGGAUAACUUCGGGAAACCGGAGCUAAUACCGGAUAAUAUAUUGAACCGGAUGGUUCAAUAGUGAAAGACGGUUUUGCUGUCACUUAUAGAUGGAUCCGCGCCGCAUUAGCUAGUUUGUAAGGUAACGGCUUACCAAGGCGACGAUGAGUAGCCGACCUGAGAGGGUGAUCGGCCACACUGGAACUGAGACACGGUCCAGACUCCUACGGGAGGCAGCAGUAGGGAAUCUACCGCAAUGGGCGAAAGCCUGACGGAGCAACGCCGCGUGAGUGAUGAAGGUCUGCGGAUCGGAAAACUCUGUUAUUAUUGAAGAACAAAUGUGUAAGUAACUAUGCACGUCUUGACGGUACCUAAUCAGAAAGCCACGGCUAACUACGUG